AAUUUCAUCAGGUAAACUCUUCGUCUGUCUCUGUCCUUCUAUCAUAGGUAUUUAGUUACGGGUUGUGUAAGGGAAAUUGGUUGGAAGAGCAAAAUGGAUACUGAAAGAGUAUCAUUUCCCUGUUGAGUACUCCAAAGUUCGAUGAAUUUGUAAUUAAAUCUCAAAUGAGUCUUCAAGUUUAUUUUUUUUUUAAAAAGGGAACAGAUAAUGUUGCCGUAAAGUAUUUGGGUCUCUAUUUGAAGCAAUAUAAUACGAAUUUUGAUGCUGAAAGACUUGGAAACCAUGCUGUCGACCAUGUCGAGAAGCUGAGUAACAUUCUGCUUUUACAAUGGCACCUCUUAAUAAAAGGAACUUAAGCCAUCCAAUCUAGGGCUUCCAUCAAAUCGUGCAGGCUGCUCGGAAGUUGCAUUUACUUUUGUUGUGAACAUCAUGAACACAUACAUUAUUUGAAGGUUCAUGUUUACGUAGCAGUGGUGUUGCUGUCCAAUGUGGCGUGUUGUUGCAGCCUAUGGUGGUGAAAGAUAUCUGCAUCAAGUUGCUGUUCCUUGUGCAUCCAAGGUGCUGCUUUUGUGCUACAGAAGUGACAUCCAAUAUUGUGUUUAAUUGCUAUUUGUGUCUCCACAGUUUACUUUUAUAUAUUGAGAAGGAACAAAAAAAAUAGUAAUACGGGGAGCUUAAUGUCAAACAAAUAAUAAACAUGUCCAGGAUGGGGAAAUGAGGAGGAAGUUGGGGUGGGGUAUUUGGUUAUGAUUUACUAAAAGAAGUGAGGUAUAUUUUAAAUGAAUAUGCUGUACUUGAUGAUAAUAUCUGUUGUUAACCUAUACCUUCCUGUCAACCUAUACUUUCCACUUUCACAUCCACUCCUCAAACCCCCACCAACAUCAAAUCCCACAUCCACUCACAUCCAUUCCUAAAACCCCACAAUCUCCAACAUCAAAUUUACACACUUGUUGUAUAUCUAUAAUCAUAUUUA